CUAAACACAAGGCAGCAGUGGCACAGUCCGCUCAGAACCUGGCCCAGAUCAGUGACCUACAAGCCCAGCUGGAGGAGGCCCUCAAGGAGAAGCAGGAUGUUCAGGAGAAGAUUCAAGCCCUUCAGAGCCAGCUGGACUUCCAGGAACAGUCCAUGGUGGAGAAGUCC